GUCGAGCGAACUGAUUAGAAGCUUGCUUCUAUGACGUUAGCGGCGGACGGGUGAGUAACACGUGGGCAACCUGCCUGUAAGACUGGGAUAACUUCGGGAAACCGAAGCUAAUACCGGAUAACAUCAUUCCUUGCAUAAGGAAUGAUUGAAAGAUGGUUUCGGCUAUCACUUACAGAUGGGCCCGCGGUGCAUUAGCUAGUUGGUGAGGUAACGGCUCACCAAGGCAACGAUGCAUAGCCGACCUGAGAGGGUGAUCGGCCACACUGGGACUGAGACACGGCCCAGACUCCUACGGGAGGCAGCAGUAGGGAAUCUUCCGCAAUGGACGAAAGUCUGACGGAGCAACGCCGCGUGAGUGAUGAAGGCUUUCGGGUCGUAAAACUCUGUUGUUAGGGAAGAACAAGUAUGAGAGUAACUGCUCGUACCUUGACGGUACCUAACCAGAAAGCCACGGCUAACUACGUGCCAGCAGCCGCGGUAAUACGUAGGUGGCAAGCGUUAUCCGGAAUUAUUGGGCGUAAAGCGCGCGCAGGCGGUUUCUUAAGUCUGAUGUGAAAGCCCACGGCU
rnacentral:rRNA from 1 species